rnacentral:rRNA from 1 species
AUGGCUGACGCCUCCGCCGGCGGCGGUUCCCUGGAUGAAUACCCAACCAUCGACCCAACCUCUUUCGACGUGGUCCUCUGCGGCACCGGCCUCCCGGAGUCCAUCCUCGCCGCUGCCUGCGCGGCCGCCGGGAAGACCGUCCUCCACGUCGACCCCGACCCCUUCUACGGCUCCUUCUACUCCUCCAUCCCGCUCCCUUCCGUCCCUUCCUUCCUCUCCGCCGACUCCUCCACCCCCUGCCCGUCCUCCCCAACCACAACCUCCUCCGCCACCGCUGAAUACACCGCCGUCGAUCUCGAGCGCCGCAGUCUGUACUCGGAGGUUGAGACCUCGGGGACGGUUCCCGAACCGUCCAGGCGCUUCACGGUCGACCUGGUGGGUCCCAGGGUGCUGUACUGCGCCGACGAGGCCGUGGACCUUCUUCUGAGGUCAGGAGGAAGCCACCAUGUGGAGUUCAAGAGCGUGGAAGGGGGCAGCCUCAUCUACUGGGAUGGUGCGCUCUGCCCGGUGCCAGACUCUAGGCAGACCAUCUUCAUGGACAGCACACAUCGGUCUAAGGAGAAGCUUAAUCUUAGGGAUAAUCUUAAGGAGAAGACCCUCUUGUUCAGAUUCUUCAAGCUUGUCCAGUCACACAUUGCCGCAUCGUCUUCUGGCGGUAAGGAUGGGGAGGGCCAAGCCUCUGGUAAGAUAUCUGAGGAGGACUUGGACCUCCCCUUUAUCGAAUUCCUCAAGAAACAGCAGCUUCAACCCAAGAUUAGAGCGGUUGUGCUAUAUGCAAUUGCCAUGGCAGAUUAUGAUCAAGAUGCCGCAGACACAUGCGAGAAAUUGCUAACAACAAGAGAUGGAAUCAAGACCCUAGCUCUUUAUUCCUCGUCCAUUGGGAGGUUUGCUAAUGCCCAAGGUGCUUUCAUUUAUCCUAUGUACGGGCAUGGUGAGCUACCGCAAGCUUUCUGUCGCUUUGCUGCUGUUAAGGGUGCCCUAUAUGUGUUGCGGAUGCCAGUCACAGCCCUCCUCGUGGACGAGGAAAAGAAGCGUUAUAUAGGCACCAGAUUGGCUUCUGGUCAGGAUAUUUUGUGCCAGCAGUUGAUACUUGGUCCCUCGUACAAAAUUCCUUCAUUGGACAUGCCAUCUGAUGCUUCAGACUCAAACUUGACGAGAAAAGUUGCCAGGGGAGUAUGCAUAAUCAGCAGCUCCAUAAAAGAGGCUUCAUCAAAUGUUCUGGUUGUUUUCCCCCCAAAAUCAUUACAAGAGCAGCAAGCUACAGCUGUUCGGGCGCUUCAGCUGAGCAGCAAUGUAGCAGUAUGCCCUCCUGGAAUGUUCAUGGUAUAUCUGUCUACUCCCUGUACUGAUGCCUUUACGGGAAAGCAGUACAUAAACAAGGCAAUGGAGGUUCUUUUCAGUACUCAGGCUUCAGAUGAUUCAGAAGGCCAUUUGGAGACAACCAGCAAAAACAUCGAGGAUAGAAAGCCAGUGCUAAUCUGGAGUUGUGUGUAUGUUCAAGAGAUCACACAGGGAACAUCUGGUGCUGUAUUGUCAUGCCCCAUGCCGGAUGAAAACCUGGACUACAGAGAUAUACUGGAAUCGACAAAACAGUUAUUUACAGAUAUUUAUCCUGACGAAGAAUUCCUGCCUAGAAACGCAACUCCUAAAUAUGCCGACGAUGACUCUGAUCUUGCAGAGUAG